AUUAUUGUUACUAUUAUUGUUAUUAUUAUUAUUUUACUCUUUUUAUAUUCCUUCUAUGUUUUCUGUGGAACCGGCAGGUUUCAAGACGUGCUCCUUGACCAUUGUGAACCACAGGCACUCUUCCUAUAAAGCUUGAAACUCGGUAUGCACUUGAUUCUGAGGUUGAAAACCACUAAAACAAUUUUCGGGGGAUCUGAAAGCCAUCUUUUGCCUGGGCCUUCUACUAUAAG
rnacentral:lncRNA from 1 species